AUCGCUUCUCGGCCUUUUAACUAAGAUCAAGUGUAGUAUCUGUUCUUGUCAGUUUAAUAUUUGAUACGUUUUCUAUCCGAGAACAACAUAUUAAAAGGACUUUCGAAGCCAGGAGGGGGAAUAGGAGCUUGCUUCGUCCACUCCACGCAUCGACCCGGUAUUGUAAUAUUUCCGCGACCGGUGCAUUCCCC